AUUGAACGCUGGCGGCAGGCCUAACACAUGCAAGUCGAGCGGAGCGGCGGACGGGUGAGUAAUGCCUGGGAAUCUGCCUGGUAGUGGGAGAUAACGUCCGGCAACGGGCGCUAAUACCGCCUACUUUCAGAUGAGCCUACGUCGGAUUAGUUAGUUGGUGGGGGAAAGGCCUACCAAGGCGACGAUCCGUAACUGGUCUGAGAGGAUGAUCAGACACACUGGAACUGAGACACGGUCCAGACUCCUACGGGAGGCAGAAGGGGGGAAUAUUGUACAAUGGGCGAAAGCCUGAUCCAGCCAUGCAGCGUGUAUGAAGAAGGCCUUCGGAUUGGAAAGCACUUUAAGUUGGGAGGCGUUACCAACAGAAUAAGCACCGGCUAACUUCGUGCCAGCAGCCGCGGUAAUAC
rnacentral:rRNA from 1 species